CCCCCCCCUUGCAGUCAUGCUAGGCAGCUGUAUGAAGCUACGACAGUGCAGAAGUUGCCCGGGCACCCUGCCCCCCUCCCACCCUCCAACCGUAUUACCCCCUCCCCCCCACUAGAGGGCUGCUCACUAAUGACACGCCUCAUUUGCCUGCUUCGACCCUUGACCUUUGACACUGACAGGAGCCCUACUAGCAGUCUGUGGAGUGUAGCACUAGGGGACGGUGCCACUGGCGCUCGCAAAACCUCUCUUCUCUUCUUCUCCUCUUCUCUUCUCCUCUCUUCUCUUCUCUUCUCCUCUCCUCUCUUCACCUCUCCUCUCCUCUCCUCACCUCACCUCUCUUCUCUUCUCAUCCUCUUUUCUAUUCUCCUCUCCUCUCUCUUCUCUCUUCUCCUCUCAUCUCUCCUCUCAUCUCUCUUCUCCUCUCAUCUCUCCUCUCAUCUCUCCUCUCCUCUCAUCUCUCCUCUCAUCUCUCCUCUCCUCCUCUCUUCUUCUCCUCUCUUCUCUUCCCCUCUCUUCUUGUCCUCUGUGCUUCUUCUUCCUAAGUGCAUUAAUGUGAAAUUGAUUGUACCUUUACCAUUUGAUUUUGUUGUGUUGUUGAUAUUUCUUGUUGGUUUGUAUGUCCGAGUUGGUGAGCUUACUUUUUCUGCGUCAGAUUCACACAGCCCAAAAACACACACAAACUACACACAAACCCACACAAACACACACACAAACACACAGAAACCCACACACAAGCACACACAGAGGGCUGGUUUGAGCUAUAUGUGAAGGUGGCAGUCACGGCUGUCCAAACAGAGAGCUUAUUCACAGUAAACCGUAGAUUUGGGCUGCUGUGUAAACGCUGAAUAGCACACACACACACACACACACACACACACACAGACAUCUACCUGAGCUGACUGCCCGCUCAGGAUGUUUGGAUUCAAACAGAAUGCAGCUUCACAGACGACCGUUGCAAAAUCAGCUCAAAUAAAUAGAAAGGAAACACACUUACUCACACACACACACACUCUCCUUCUUUAAACAGAGCUGAUCAUGUAUAAGAGUUAGCAGCCGCUAACGUGCGCCGCCCCGUUCAUUCCCUCUGGCUGGCUCCCCCCGUAGGACAUACACUGAGCUAGCCAUGGCUAACCACACAGCUUAUCAGACACUGCAACAGGUUUACCAUGCAACGAUUUGUGUGCUUGCUUCACCCUCUCUCUCUCUCUCUCUCUCUCUCUCUCUCUCUCUCUCUCUCUCUCUUUCUUCUUCUCCUCUUCUCUUUUCUGCGCCUUAUAUCCAAGCCUGCGUCUUUUCUCAUUAGUUUUAUUCUUUGUUGUCUGUCUGUUUGUUUGUUUGACACUCCGAUUGUCAUUUUAUUUAAUUGCAGUGUUUUUGGUUCAUACUGUUUCAAUAAAAAAGUCAAAACACUCCC
ensembl:lncRNA